rnacentral:rRNA from 1 species
AUACGGAGGAUCCGAGCGUUAUCCGGAUUUAUUGGGUUUAAAGGGUGCGUAGGCGGCCUUUUAAGUCAGCGGUGAAAGUCUGUGGCUCAACCAUAGAAUUGCCGUUGAAACUGGGAGGCUUGAGUAUGUUUGAGGCAGGCGGAAUGCGUGGUGUAGCGGUGAAAUGCUUAGAGAUCACGCAAAACCCCGAUUGCGAAGGCACCCUGCAAAGCCAUGACUGACGCUGAUGCACGAAAGCGUGGGGAUCAAACAGGAUUAGAUACCCUGGUAGUCCACGCAGUAAACGAUGAUCACUAGCUGUUUGCGAUACAGUGUAAGCGGCACAGCGAAAGCGUUAAGUGAUCCACCUGGGGAGUACGCCGGCAACGGUGAAACUCAAAGGAAUUGACGGG